rnacentral:rRNA from 1 species
GACAGAGGAUGCAAGCGUUAUCCGGAAUGAUUGGGCGUAAAGCGUCUGUAGGUGGUUUAAAAAGUCUACUGUUAAAAAUUGAAGCUUAACUUCAAAGAUGCCGUAGAAACUUUUAAACUUGAGGAUGGUAGGGGUAGAGGGAAUUUCCAGUGGAGCGGUGAAAUGCGUAGAUCUUGGAAAGACCACCAAUGGCGAAGGCACUCUACUGGGCCAUGACUGACACUAAGAGACGAAAGCUAGGGGAGCAAAUGGG